rnacentral:rRNA from 1 species
GAACGCUGGCGGCGUGCUUAACACAUGCAAGUCGAACGGUGACGAAUGGAGCUUGCUCUGUUCUGAUCAGUGGCGAACGGGUGAGUAACACGUGAGUAACCUGCCCCUGACUCUGGAAUAACUUCGGGAAACCGAAGCUAAUACCGGAUAUGACACAGAGCCGCAUGGUUUCUGUGUGGAAAGUUUUUCGGUUGGGGAUGGACUCGCGGCCUAUCAGCUUGUUGGUGAGGUAAUGGCUCACCAAGGCGACGACGGGUAGCCGGCCUGAGAGGGCGACCGGCCACACUGGGACUGAGACACGGCCCAGACUCCUACGGGAGGCAGCAGUGGGGAAUAUUGCACAACGGGCGAAAGCCUGAUGCAGCGACGCCGCGUGAGGGAUGAAGGCCUUCGGGUUGUAAACCUCUUUCAGUAGGGAAGAAGCGCAAGUGACGGUACCUACAGAAGAAGCACCGGCUAACUACGUG